GACUCCUACGGGAGGCAGCAGUGGGGAAUAUUGCACAAUGGGCGGAAGCCUGAUGCAGCAACGCGCGUGAGGGAUGACGGCCUUCGGGUUGUAAACCUCUUUUAGCAAGGAAGAAGCUUUUGUGACGGUACUUGCAGAAAAAGCGCCGGCUAACUACGUGCCAGCAGCCGCGGUAAUACGUAGGGCGCAAGCGUUAUCCGGAAUUAUUGGGCGUAAAGAGCUCGUAGGCGGUUUGUCGCGUCUGCUGUGAAAUCCCGAGGCUCAACCUCGGGCUGCAGUGGGUACGGGCAGACUAGAGUGCGGUAGGGGAGAUUGGAAUUCCUGGUGUAGCGGUGGAAUGCGCAGAUAUCAGGAGGAACACCGAUGGCGAAGGCAGAUCUCUGGGCCGUAACUGACGCUGAGGAGCGAAAGGGUGGGGAGCAAACAGGCUUAGAUACCCUGGUAGUCCACCCCGUAAACGUUGGGAACUAGUUGUGGGGUCCUUUCCACGGAUUCCGUGACGCAGCUAACGCAUUAAGUUCCCCGCCUGGGGAGUACGGCCGCAAGGCUAAAACUCAAAGGAAUUGACGGGGACCCGCACAAGCGGCGGAGCAUGCGGAUUAAUUCGAUGCAACGCGAAGAACCUUACCAAGGCUUGACAUACACGAGAACACCCUAGAAAUAGGGGACUCUUUGGACACUCGUGAACAGGUGGUGCAUGGUUGUCGUCAGCUCGUGUCGUGAGAUGUUGGGUUAAGUCCCGCAACGAGCGCAACCCUCGUUCUAUGUUGCCAGCACGUAAUGGUGGGAACUCAUGGGAUACUGCCGGGGUCAACUCGGAGGAAGGUGGGGAUGACGUCAAAUCAUCAUGCCCCUUAUGUCUUGGGCUUCACGCAUGCUACAAUGGCCGGUACAAAGGGCUGCAAUACCGUGAGGUGGAGCGAAUCCCAAAAAGCCGGUCCCAGUUCGGAUUGAGGUCUGCAACUCGACCUCAUGAAGUCGGAGUCGCUAGUAAUCGCAGAUCAGCAACGCUGCGGUGAAUACGUUCCCGGGUCUUGUACACACCGCCCGUCAAGUCAUGAAAGUCGGUAACACCUGAAGCCGGUGGCCCAACCCUUGUGGGGGGAGCCGUACG
rnacentral:rRNA from 1 species